GAUCAUGGCUCAGGACGAACGCUGGCGGCGUGCUUAACACAUGCAAGUCGAGCGGGGAUAUUGAUUGGAAGGUUUCGGCCGGAAGGUUGAUAUUCCAGCGGCGGACGGGUGAGUAACGCGUGAGCAAUCUGUCCCAGACAGGGGGAUAACAGAUGGAAACAUCUGCUAAUACCGCAUAAGACCACGAGGUCACAUGAUCUUGGGGUAAAAGGAGCAAUCCGGUUUGGGGUGAGCUCGCGUCCG
rnacentral:rRNA from 1 species